AGAGACUCUACAAGUUCUUAGAAGCUGGUGAUGUUGCCGGGUGGUGGUGGCAGGUGCCUCAGGAGACAGAGAAUUAAGAGGUGAAUGUCCUGCUGACCCUCUCCCAUGUCAGGAGCUGUGUACUGGGGAUGCAUCCUGUCCCCAGGGGCACAAAUGCUGCAGCACAGGGUGUGGCCAUGCCUGCCGAGGAGACAUUGAGGGAGGGCGGGAUGGUCAAUGUCCCAGAAUUCUGGUAGGCCUGUGUAUUGUCCAGUGCAUGAUGGAUGAGAACUGUCAACCUGGGGAAAGGUGCUGUAAAUCAGGCUGUGGCCGCUUCUGCAUCCGGGGACUCCGGCCCCUCCAACAGCUCACAGACUCCAACCGGACAGAUGGCUUUAACUCUACAUUAGAGGCUCAAGUACCCUAGCUGACCUGAUUUGCCUGGAGCUCCAGGAAGCUGCUGGAAGGCUGGAAGGGGUGACAUCCUGGGGUUUGUGACACUCCCUGGAGUAUCAGGCCUUCUCCUCCUCGUUUUUAUUGCUACUUACUGCACAUGGAACUGCCCUGAUGAUGGGUGCUUCUCUUUCCCAAUAAAAUGCUGGCAUGG
rnacentral:lncRNA from 1 species